rnacentral:rRNA from 1 species
CUACGGGUGGCAGCAGUGGGGAAUAUUGCACAAUGGGCGCAAGCCUGAUGCAGCCAUACCGCGUGUAUGAAGAAGGCCUUCGGGUUGUAAAGUACUUUCAGCGGGGAGGAAGGGAGUAAAGUUAAUACCUUUGCUCAUUGACGUUACCCGCAGAAGAAGCACCGGCUAACUCCGUGCCAGCAGCCGCGGUAAUACGGAGGGUGCAAGCGUUAAUCGGAAUUACUGGGCGUAAAGCGCACGCAGGCGGUUUGUUAAGUCAGAUGUGAAAUCCCCGGGCUCAACCUGGGAACUGCACCUGAUACUGGCAAGCUUGAGUCUCGUAGAGGGGGGUAGAAUUCCAGGUGUAGCGGUGAAAUGCGUAGAGAUCUGGAGGAAUACCGGUGGCGAAGGCGGCCCCCUGGACGAAGACUGACGCUCAGGUGCGAAAGCGUGGGGAGCAAACAGGAUUAGAUACCCCCGUAGUC